rnacentral:lncRNA from 1 species
GACAGACUAAAGCUUGCCUUAAUUUAUAAGAUUUGCUACUAGUUCUUAUUAAAAGCUCUCUUGAGAAGUUGAAACAGUUUAGGUAACUGGCUGUUUGACCAAUUUAGGGUAUAUUUUCCAGGCAAGAAAAUAAAAUAAAUGAAAAUCAAUAGAAAAGUUAAAGUGUAACACAAUAAUUAAAAACUCAUGGACUGAGUUUUUGCCCCUGAGGAUUCAUGGAGAAAGGAUUGCCAUUUCAGCUUGAUAGAGGAUGCUGGACAUGUGCAUCCUGUCUUCCCAGUGAUCAUGUGGCGACUCCACAGAGAGGAGGAGGAAGAGGACAAUUUUCUCCUUGUCCCUGCUUAUAUUUUGAAUGUGUCUGCUAUGUCACUUCUUGCCUGGAUCAAAAGACUUCUCUUUUCUACAUUUCCCAGAAUCCUCCUUGACUCCCAGUCCCAUCUAUCUUGAUUCCCUAUUGGCCAAAAGUGUUUUAUUCAACAACCAAUAAGAUAAAACGUACACUGUAGGACUUCCCUCAUCAAAAGAGUAUAGACCAAAAUCCAUUCAAAACAUGGAGUUUGAAUACAUAAUUAUAUACAAUGACACAUAUUUGCAGAUCUUUCUGUGUUAUGGCUUACUGAAUCUCUUGCUAGUAGUGGCUGUUUCUCCACCUCUAUAACAAUGCAGAUAACUAAGUUGUAUUCAUUUGCAAAAAUUUCCAUGUCUAAACUUGUCAUAGGGCUCACUUUAACAACUCAAACUGCUGGAAUGCUGAGUGAGAUUCCUCCGAAGAAAACACUUGACCGGAGUCUGUAAAGCCUGUUGACCAGUAUUGACAAUGAAUUAAUAUCACAGGAAAAGAAAAGAUUCCUCAUUCAUCAAAAUAACCUCAGAAGGAAAGGAUGAGUCUGAGAAAAGCAAGUUUGAAGCAUACUGCUAGAUGAAGGUAACAAUGUCUAAUAAAUCUGCCAGUGAAGAAGCCGAGACUAUCACCAAGCCGCAAUAUUGACAGUGAAGGAAAAUUUGGCUGGAAAAUUAAAAUAAGCAAGAAAGACUGUAUUAAAGACUAAUGGGAGUAGUAGGCUGCACUCAUCUUUCACUGAAACAAAAGAUGCGAGACUAUUUAAAUACCAGGAUGAAUAUUGAGAAAGUACUAAUAGACUUUGGGGGAUAGGUUGGUUCAUGAGAUAAGUAUAAUG